rnacentral:tRNA from 1 species
GCCUGGCUGGCUCAGUCGAUGGCAUGUGUGACUCUUAAUCUCAAGGUUGUGGGUUCGAGCCCCACGCUGGGUA